rnacentral:tRNA from 1 species
UCUAAUAUGGCAGAUUAGUGCAAUGAACUUAAACUUCAUAAAUAAAGUUUAACUUUUUUUAGAA